AGUGGCGGACGGGUGAGUAACGCGUAAGAAUCUACCUUCAGGUCGGGGACAACCACUGGAAACGGUGGCUAAUACCGGAUGUGCCGAGAGGUGAAAGGCUUGCUGCCUGAAGAAGAGCUUGCGUCUGAUUAGCUAGUUGGUAGUGUAAGAGACUACCAAGGCGACGAUCAGUAGCUGGUCUGAGAGGAUGAUCAGCCACACUGGGACUGAGACACGGCCCAGACUCCUACGGGAGGCAGCAGUGGGGAAUUUUCCGCAAUGGGCGAAAGCCUGACGGAGCAAUACCGCGUGAGGGAGGAAGGCUCUUGGGUUGCAAACCUCUUUUCUCAGGGAAGAACAGAAUGACGGUACCUGAGGAAUAAGCAUCGGCUAACUCCGUGCCAGCAGCCGCGGUAAUACGGAGGAUGCAAGCGUUAUCCGGAAUGAUUGGGCGUAAAGAGUCCGUAGGUGGCAUUGAAAGUCUGCUGUUAAAGAGUCUAGCUCAACUAGAUAAGAGCAGUGGAAACUACAAAGCUAGAGUUUGGUCGGGGCAGAAGGAAUUCCUGGUGUAGCGGUGAAAUGCGUAGAUAUCAGGAAGAACACCGGUGGCGAAGGCGUUCUGCUAGGCCGAGACUGACACUGAGGGACGAAAGCUAGGGGAGCGAAUGGGAUUAGAUACCCCAGUAGUCCUAGCCGUAAACGAUGGAUACUAGGCGUAGCU
rnacentral:rRNA from 1 species